rnacentral:rRNA from 1 species
UACGGGGGGAGCAAGCGUUGUUCGGAUUUACUGGGCGUAAAGGGCGCGUAGGCGGCUUGGCAAGUGGAUGGUGAAAUCCCUCGGCUUAACCGAGGAACUGCCGUCCAAACUGCUUCGCUUGAGACCGGGAGAGGUGAGUGGAAUUCCCAGUGUAGCGGUGAAAUGCGUAGAUAUUGGGAGGAACACCAGUGGCGAAGGCGGCUCACUGGACCGGUACUGACGCUGAUGCGCGAAAGCGUGGGGAGCAAACGGG